UCUGAAUAUCUGCUGUCACGCAUAACAUUCAUUUUAUUUGACCGUAUUUCAAAGAUAAACAAAAUUCAGUUACAACUCCGAACCGCUAGAUGGCAGCAGUACACAAACACGGGGCCAAAUCUCACGAGAAAGAUUUCCGCUGUUUGAAAGGCAACAACAUCAGCGAGCAGCCACGAGGAAAGCAAUCUACCACACUCGUUUGGUCUUGUGUCAAAGCUGUGCGAAACUGGAGGGAGAAACUUGAGAGACCGUGCCGGAAGAAUGCUGGACAGAGUUCACUAAAAUUCAUUAAUUUCAAAGUUCAACAUGAAUGGUGGUGGUCCACUGCAGAAGCAAGCAUUUGAAAAAACAUCACUUCUCAGUUAUUAAAGAUGCUGUGUUGAACAACUUCCCAGCAGCAACAGAACUGGAAGUGAAGGAUGCAAUGGGGGCAUUUCAAACAGGCACCAGGGAGCACGGUAGUGAUGGGUCGUUCGCGAACGCCGGCUCUAAGAGCUGAUUCUUUGUAGCGAACGAGCAGAGCCGAAUCUUCAGACGCAGGCAGGGGAGCCGGCUCUUCUAAGGGAGCUGAGCCAGAAGAGCCGAAUCUAUGAAAAAAGCCGGGCUGCCAUCACUAAAAUGUAGAGCCGGAGCUUGAGCCGAAAGAGCCGAAUCAAUGGAAAGAGCCGGACUGCCCAUCACUAGAGCACGGGGAGGGGGGGUAUAGAAAUUAGUACAAUUAAUAAGUUGACGUGAACUGAAGAUAGUUUGUUAAUGUUUAGAUGUUAUU